rnacentral:rRNA from 1 species
AGUGAACGCUGGCGGUAGGCCUAACACAUGCAAGUCGAACGGCAGCACAGUAAGAGCUUGCUCUUACGGGUGGCGAGUGGCGGACGGGUGAGGAAUACAUCGGAAUCUACUUUUUCGUGGGGGAUAACGUAGGGAAACUUACGCUAAUACCGCAUACGACCUACGGGUGAAAGCGGGGGAUCUUCGGACCUUGCGCGAUUGAAUGAGCCGAUGUCGGAUUGGCUGGUGGGCGGGGUAAAGGCCCACCAAGGCGAGUAUCCGUAGCUGGUCUGAGUGGAUGGUCACCCACACUGGAACUUAGCCACGGUCCAUACUCCUACGGUAGGGAGCAGUGUGGAAUAUUGGACAAUGGGCGCAAGCCUGGUCCAGUCAUACCGCGUGUGUGGAGAAAGCCUUGGGGUUGUAAAGCCGUUUUGUUGGGAAAGAACAGCAUCAGGUUAAUACCCCGCUGUUCUGACGGUACCCAAAGAAUAAGCACCGGCUAACUUCGUG